GCUUGGCUAGCUCAGCGGUAGUAGCAGUCGCCCGAUAAGCGACAGGUCGUUGGUUCGAUUCCAACGCCAAGCACCA
rnacentral:tRNA from 1 species